rnacentral:rRNA from 1 species
UACGUAGGCAGCAAGCGUUGUUCGGAAUUACUGGGCGUAAAGAGUGUGUAGGCGGUGCUCUAAGUUUGGUGUGAAAUCUCCCGGCUCAACUGGGAGGGUGCGCCGAAAACUGGAAUGCUUGAACAUGGGAGAGGAAAGCGGAAUUCCUGGUGUAGCGGUGAAAUGCAUAGAUACAAUCAAGAACACCGAUUGCGUAGGCAGCUUACUAGGCUGUAACUGACGCUGAGGCACGAAAGCGUGGGGAGCGAACAGG